rnacentral:rRNA from 1 species
ACAUACGACCAUAGACUCAAGAGAAUUGGGCAUCCCGUCCGGAGAAUUGGGCAUCGGCAUCCCGUCCGCUCUGCCAUACACAAGCUUGAGAUCGGUGGAUUAGUAGUUGGGUGGGUGACCACCAGCGAAUACCCACUGUUGUAUGUU